UGCAGUGUUUAGGAGGUAUAGACACAGCUGUGGGAGAGGACCAAGGGAAAUAUCUGUGGAGAAAGCUGUUGCUGGCAAGCAGUACUCUUGCUCCUCAAACAAGGAUAUAAGGCCAACAAACCUCCCCUGACCCUUCCCAGCCCCCUCAUUCCCUAUUGACAAUUUCAAAACCCUCCACUUGUGUUUGCAAACUCCUCUCUCUGUAAUCAACACUGUCAAUGACACAGUAUUGAAUUUUUCACCUCCAGGAGGAAGAUGAAGCAAAGCUGUGCCCAUAAGAGAGUUUAUAUUUGGAUGCCCAUUUUAAAAUUUAUUUUUGGUGACCAGAACCAUCUGUUUAAACAAGCUCUAAAGAAAAGAAAAGCUUCAUUUCAAUUUUCUAUUCUUUCCUGGGAUCGGCCAGAAAUUAUUGUUUAAUGGAAUGGAUUUUGGUCUGCUUCAGUAAUCUGAAGAUGCCAUGCUGAAUCUUCAGUAUGACUAGCAUGGAUGCUGGAACGGACAAUAUAUACAUAUGAUACCAGGCUCCGGAAAGCAUGCAAGUGUCUUGGAAGACAGCAAGAAAAUUCAAAAUAAUCUUGACAAAUAAGAUGUUUGAAAUAAUAGAAUGCAAUUCAAUAGAGACAGCUACAACAUACUCAGGCAGAAAAAAUAUGUUGCACAUGUACAAAUUAGGGGACAACUGUUUAGGUAAAAGAUCUGCAGGUCUCCAAGUUAGAGAGGAUGUCAAGGUCAACAUGAGCCAACAAAAAGAAUCCUAAUGAUCACGAGUCAGCAACAUCAAAAAGUGGACAUUGUGAAAAAGCAUUUAUUGUGGCAUGCAAGAGGCAUACAGAUAUCCUUUUAAUCAAUUCAGCAUUCAUGAAUACCCUUGCAUACUCUGUGAAACUUUUGUUCACUGGGCUUCAUAAUGAGUAGAUACCAACUGGUGAGAGAACCAACAGAACAAAAAUACUGAUUGAAGGUCUUGAUUUUAUAACCUUCAAGAAAGGUAGAAUAAGGAGAAGAUUUAGGAAGGAUGUGUUAAUAGAUUUCAAGAAAAUAAAAUACUAUUCAAAGAAAGGAUUUAUAAACUCUCUGUAUCAGAAAAGAAGUAAUGGGCUUAAAUUGCAAGGAAAAAAGACAUUGUCUAGUAUAAGACAUAUUAGAAAAGAGUUUUAGAAGGAAAAGGUAGUGAAGAACUAGAAAGUUUGCCAAAGAAACCUGUCAACCUUCUGUCAUUGAAAGUACUUUUAAGUAGAUUAGAUAAAUGUCUGUCAAGAAUGGAUUAGUUUUCCAAACUCUUUUUCGUACUUAACAUAGUAUGAAGAUUCUGAAUCUACUUUAAAUGAAAACCACUUUAUUCUUCAUUCUGUUCUCUACAUGUUUUCCUCCUUCCAGUCUUUGAUAUUUCUGAAAUGCUUCUUAUUAGUUUUUAUGAAGAUCUGAAAAUAAUUGAGGAUAGCACUGAGAACACAUAAGGCUCCUUAGAUUCUUGCUCUCCCUGUGUUGUGUUUUAAAUAUUAUAUUUUUAUUUCUCCUAUUGUGUUGUGGCUUUUUCCCUUCUUUCCAGCACACCAGCUGGUUUCCUAGAUGGGUGAAACCAUAUUGCAUAUUUAUACCCACUGUCAUACCAGUGCUGAUUCUGAAGCUGUUCAAUUCUAAAUCUCUAUGAACUUUCCUACUUCUAACCUCAGUAUCCUGCUAUCUUUCUCUGUGUUUCUCUAUGGUGCCCAGGAAAGAGAAAUACUGUUUAUCAUGUAACUCAAAACUUAUCAUGGAUAACUUAUAGCUAAUUAUACAUUCACAUUCUUCAUAUAUUCUCUUAUGCACCUUCCUAUCACUACCUUUUAUAUCAACUCCUUUUGUUGUAAUCACUGUGCAUACUGAGAUUUGUAUGAACUGACACAUGGAAUUAAAUUUUACUCUGAAUUCA